AUGUUUCUUCUUCCCAAUCCCACUGCAUCCCAAGAAAAUAUCUGCCUCCCUCGAGGAGGGUUUUUGUGUUUCAUAACACACAGUUGUUAUCUCUGCACCGUGUGCAUUGUUUCUUGUUCCCAAUCCCGCCAGCCCCUAGAAAAUAUCUGCUCGCCUCGAGGGUUUUUCUGUUUCAUAACACACGGUUGUUAUCUCCGAACCGUGUGGGAUGCACAAUCAUCAAAAUUUUCAUUAGCCCCGGCAUUUCACUCCCGCGUUGUAAGAUUUUCAAUACUCGCGUCAUUUCUUCAAACACACCCCCGCCCCCCUCCACACACACACGCACACACCAAAAUCUCCUCGGGUGUGCGUGCACACACACACAAACACACACACCCGCUCCCUCUCUCGAAACUCUAG
rnacentral:rRNA from 1 species